AACGAACGCUGGCGGCAGGCCUAACACAUGCAAGUCGAGCGCCCUUUCGGGGGAGCGGCGGACGGGUGAGUAACGCGUGGGAAUAUGCCCUUCUCUACGGAAUAGCCUCGGGAAACUGAGAGUAAUACCGUAUACGCCCUGUGGGGGAAAGAUUUAUCGGGGAAGGAUUAGCCCGCGUUGGAUUAGGUAGUUGGUGGGGUAAUGGCCUACCAAGCCGACGAUCCAUAGCUGGUUUGAGAGGAUGAUCAGCCACACUGGGACUGAGACACGGCCCAGACUCCUACGGGAGGCAGCAGUGGGGAAUCUUAGACAAUGGGGGCAACCCUGAUCUAGCCAUGCCGCGUGAGUGAUGAAGGCCUUAGGGUUGUAAAGCUCUUUCAGCUGGGAAGAUAAUGACGGUACCAGCAGAAGAAGCCCCGGCUAACUCCG
rnacentral:rRNA from 1 species